rnacentral:pre_miRNA from 1 species
UGUUGAAAUUUGAUUCAUUUGUCCUAUUAAAAAUUGGCAUGACUGACAAAAUAAAUAUAUAGUGACAUGUGGCAUGUCAUGUGUACCUUAUGGUGAUGUAUAUGGACUAGUUUUUAACCGUAAAAAUGGAUUAAAUUUUUAAUA